AUGCGUGGAGAGGGAAGGCAUAAGUUGGUAGCAGUGAAGGUGGUUCAGAAAGGAGGAUGGAUGUUGUUACUGCGUUCUGAUUCUACUGCCUUUGGUGAGUUCGUAGCUAUGGCGUCACAUACAUUAAAACACUUUCUUCUAAUUACUCUACUGUCCAAUGUGUCUUCUCUUUACUUAGUUGAAGUAUUUUCUGUUGAUACCUUGCAGGUUAAUUGUUUUGGUGGUUGA